ACAUACACGCACACACAUACACACAUACAUAUACACUGGCCCAUUGAAACGCCUCCACAGUACUCCUUGCCUGCCUUGCUUGGAGGAGGGGUGGAGGUGUUUACGGCCCACUCUCGCCUUUGUUGCAGCUGCUGCUGUUGUCUCUGUGUCGUGUGUGUGUGUGUCCUUGCACCAGCUGCAUGUACUCCGCGCGCUUUUAGUUGGCCUGUUGCUAGCUCUCUCCCGACUUUCGCUGUCGUUUUCGGCGUUUGGUUCUGCCCCCCUCCCCAUCCCUCCCCCCACAGCACUCGUCUCUCCUCCGGUACCACACCCGCUCUCGCUGUGUGUGUCGGUGUCUUCUGCUGCUGUGUCCCACACCACACCCCGUCCACUUUCUCAUAUAGAAAUCUUUUCGCUGUUGUUGCGCUUCAUUUUGGGAUUAUACCGGAUUCGUCGAGACAAGCGCGAGGCGCAUGGCAAGGGCGAAGCGCUCAGCACACGUCCGUAUACACAACUCAGCCAGUGGGCCGAACAACAGCAACACACGAAAACGCAAAGAGCAGUGGUGUGUCUUCUCGAGGUGGCUGUUAGUGGGGUGAGAGAGGAGCAGAGAGUAAAGGACGCAUCCACCCACACACACACAUACACACACACACACAGCGCGAGAGCGAAGUGAAACCAACAAAAACGAGCGAACAGACAUUCUCGCUUCUCUUUUCCCUCGACCUGUAGCGCGUUGUUCUCAUCAUUGUUAGAGCGAAUGAGCCGCGUGUCUUUGCAGCGGCGACCACAUUCGUCGGCGCCGGGUGAGGUGAACUGCGCCGGUGCACCUGUACACCCAAAUGCGCUUCAUGCGCCACCUCGCCGCAGGGCGUCGGCAUGCUCGUCGUCAGCGGCGUACUUUCCGACGCAGGCGAGUCUGUUCCGCGACUCGUACGGCCUUCCUUUGACCUGCGCUGCAGUGUCAAGUGGGUGCUCCUAUCAGUCGCCGCACAGACGGCUGCAUGUCUACGCGAACGGUGGGGGCCGAGACGUCGGCCCGCGCUACCACGACGUAACCUGCAGCCCCGGUGCCAGGCGGCCGCCACCACCUCCACGGCGGGCGGUCACGGCAGGAGCAUCCGCAGGACGAUCUCGCGCCGCGAAUGGAAGCGGCGCCGCGGAUGCGGUUGUGUUUCAGUACUACUCGCAGCAGCGUCAGAAGCGAGGGCAGAUGCGUUCUCAGUCUUCUCUCCACGACUUUGAGGUGAUUGCCACACCAGUGCGCCGGCAGUCAUCCACGUCGAGCGGCGGUGGCUUUUCCGCACCUGCAACACCGGCUGGUGGGAACGUAGAGGCCUCAUCUCCCCCGCUGCCCUCUCGCUGUACCAGCCGCCCCCCUGCGCACGAUCGUGACGCGGGUAUCCACGCGCGCUUGCAUCGUCAACCCUCAGCAUCACCGUUGUCUAUGGAGCAAGAGAGCGUCAUUCACGACACGUCGACCUCGCUGAUUCCUCUCAUGCCGCCUAUAGACGAGGGCAGCUGGCCUGUGCAGCUAUCUCCUUCUCAGCACCAGCAGUGCGAAGCGAUGGUGCGGCUGCUGGCGCAGCUCCCGGCAGCACAGGCGCACCGCGUCCUUCUCGCUGCGAUCCGCCAGUACGAGGCACAGCGCUUGCUCCAGUACUACGGUGGCGUGCAUGCGUUGCCUGGGACUGAGAGCUCCCCGCGUGCGAUGCCACGAACCCCGUCAACAUCAUCGCUGGCGUCGUCCCCCGUCAAAGUCCCGUCAGCAAGGCGGCACGACGACGGCCGGUCCGCUCUCUUUGAGGCACUGCGAGCCCGCCUCGAUGACAUGCAACGCGCCGACAUGGCUGCACAGGCGCUCUCGCCGUUCACCGCGGCAUCCAGUCACUGGCAGCGGCGGGGCGGCAGCCGAGCGGACAGACCGGCGCGUGGGCAGUCGCAUGUCAGCCACUUCAUCAGGGCCAGCCCGCCCACCAUUCCUCCUCCCACAGCGGCGCGACGCCCGUAUCUGGCGCGCCGACAAACGCCGCAAGACAGUGAAACAAGACAGUGCCCCGACUCCGGCGACGCCCGCGCACCGCGGCAGCUCCGCAGCCGUAUUCUGGCGAGUCGUGUUGGCAAGCCGCGCGCCCGCGGCGCCGAGCAGGGAUGCCGUACGGGCGAAAAGGGUGCUGCGGCUCGUGACGCGUCGGCUUCGUCGCAGAACCACUCUACGCCGCUGCUGCAGCAGCGGCACGACUUCAUGAAGACGAUCAAGCCCCCGCACCGCCAUGGGUUGGCUGGUGCAUUGUUGGUGGAACCCGGUGCUCCUCACGAGGCAGCACCUGUGACCCAUGGCCAUGAUUCUGGUGGGCGCGCUAGUAUGCCACCAGGUGCACAGGUAACAGCAGUUGCAGGACGGGGCGAAGGAGUGCGAGAGGAGGGCCUGUACAGGCCCGCAUCGAUGGCGGAGCGCAACGACGGCUCGCUGCCACCGCCCUUGCUCGCAUUCACCGUUACCGGCAAGGAGAUGCCCGACGCCAGCGUCGGUUGGCCCCUCGCCGAAGGCACCGCUCUCUCUCCUGGGGCCGCCGCGGCAAGGCGGGCAUACUUGGAGCAACAGCAGAAGGAGCAGCAGCAGCGGCAGCGACCUUCAUCUCUCUCAAGGCUUAGCGCGGACGCGGAUGACGGGGAGGGGUCGGAGCUGCUGCCGGAAUCGGCGCGGCGUUCGCACGUCACACGUGACGAAAGCGACGCAGCGUGCCGUUAUCCGAGAAGCAGUUCAGCGGAUUGCUUUGGGCCCAACUCUGGCAAACGCGGCGCGGCCUCGCCAGGCAGCGUCUCCCUCGAAGACUCGGCGCCGCGGAGCGGGGGGCUGAGAGGCUCCUCGGCGCCGAGUGUGACCCCAGCGCCGCUUACGGGCGUUUUGGCUGCCCCGCCGCCGCCGAAACAGAUUCCUGGAGUGCAUCUGUCCACGCGAGUGGCGACGGUGGGCUCAGCAGGCGAGCCCGCAGUCUUCAUAACAGACUGCACUGGCGCAUCGACCUCGGCGCUGUGCGAUCCCAAGGCGCGGCCCCACGAUCGCAAGGGGAGCGACGACACUGGCACACCAGGUGCGCCACCAUCCAACAACGGCGCAUUCUGGGGGGAAGACUACGCGGCUGCGGCGGUGGGUGGCUCCUCGGGGUUGCACAGGCAGAAUCGAUAUCGCGAGGGUGGCAGCGGUGCUGACCCCUCCACGCCACCACUCCAGGGUAAAUGUGCGGAGGGACUCGAUGGGCAGAACCUGUUCUCAUCUCCCGCCCAGUUCGAAGAUAGCGUCAUCACUGCUUCCUCGAUUAGUUCAGAGCCUUUCUUGCAAGAACAAGCCGCCGACAACGACCGCGACGGCGUGAUAGCGCUGACGGCUCACUCUGCCAGUAGGUCGGCGGCCGCAGGAUCACGGGCAGCCAACAAAUCUUCUGACGAGCUCUUGCUUCCCUGGGAAAUCUAGCCUCGUCCGCCUCCCGCACAUCGUUGCCAUCCGCGUCGGCGCUGCUUUAGCACACUUCUCACCGUGACAAUUAUAUCGCCGCCGCCUCUCGCUUUCCUGUCUGUCGCACCAGUGAUCAUCAGAUGGGUGGCGCAGCGGCCUCCGGCCCCCUUCCCUCCCCCGGCACUUACCACUAACGCCUACCGAUCUGCACUCGUAGGUGCAACUCGCAGCAGGCGGUUCGGCGCAUCCGAAGCCAUAGUUCUCCUGCUUCUAGCCGUUCUUGCCUUUUCCUCGAGCACUAAGCGAAUCAAAACCAGCAAGGCGCUGCUACCCUCACCACACCUUUUCUCCUCCUAUCAUCGACGUUCACACCACCGCCAAACGCGCUGUGCGAUGCUGCAGAGCGGUACGCAGUACCUUUACUGCCGCCUAGGCCGGGUGCACAUGAACCACUACCCCAGUCAUUCGCUCCCAUCUCCCUGUCCCUUCAGACCCACUCACAUGCACCGAAAACGCCAACAUGCGUCGCCCCCCUCACGGAGUGGGCACCAACUAGCCCACAAGCUCCUCGCCAGGGAAAGGAGCGGCGCAGGACGUCACGCACACCCUCAUCGAAUUCAUCCCCGAAAGGAGGUAGGGAGUUAAAGCGGCAGUGCCGGCAACAGGAUGGGCUUGAUAGCCGUGUCUCAACCCUUACCUAGCGUACUGUGAGC
rnacentral:misc_RNA from 1 species